rnacentral:rRNA from 1 species
AAUAGAUACCCGGGUAGUCCNACGCCGUAAACGAUGGAUGCUAGCUAUUGGGGGGAAUCGACCCCCUCCGAAGCGAAGCUAACGCGUUAAGCAUCCCGCCUGAGUAGUACGAGCGCAAGCUUAAAACUCAAAGGAAUUGACGGGGACCCGCACAAGCGGUGGAGCGUGUGGUUUAAUUCGAUGGUAAACGAAGAACCUUACCAAGGUUUGACAUCCCGGUAGCCGUUCUCCGAAAGGAGAAUUUCAUUUAGUUGGACCGGUGACAGGUGAUGCAUGGCCGUCGUCAGCUCGUGUCGUGAGAUGUUGGGUUAAGUCCCGCAACGAGCGCAACCCUUAUGAUUUAGUUGGAUUUUUCUAAACAGACUGCCCUGGUAACAGGGAGGAAGGAGGGGAUGAUGUCAGGUCAGUAUUUCCCUUACACCUUGGGCGACACACGCGCUACAAUGGCCGGUACAAUGGGCAGCUAAGCCGCGAGGUGGAGCAAAUCCCAUCAAAGCCCG